UGAGUAACACGUAUCCAACCUGCCGUCUACUCUUGGACAGCCUUCUGAAAGGAAGAUUAAUACAAGAUGGCAUCAUGAGUUCACAUGUUCACAUGAUUAAAGGUAUUCCGGUAGACGAUGGGGAUGCGUUCCAUUAGAUAGUAGGCGGGGUAACGGCCCACCUAGUCUUCGAUGGAUAGGGGUUCUGAGAGGAAGGUCCCCCACAUUGGAACUGAGACACGGUCCAAACUCCUACGGGAGGCAGCAGUGAGGAAUAUUGGUCAAUGGGCGAGAGCCUGAACCAGCCAAGUAGCGUGAAGGAUGACUGCCCUAUGGGUUGUAAACUUCUUUUAUAAAGGAAUAAAGUCGGGUAUGGAUACCCGUUUGCAUGUACUUUAUGAAUAAGGAUCGGCUAACUCCGUGCCAGCAGCCGCGGUAAUACGGAGGAUCCGAGCGUUAUCCGGAUUUAUUGGGUUUAAAGGGAGCGUAGAUGGAUGUUUAAGUCAGUUGUGAAAGUUUGCGGCUCA
rnacentral:rRNA from 1 species